AAUAACACGAAGAAAGCUCUAAUCCUUGCUGAUUGGGAUAUGCACAGGUGACAACAAACUCACCUAAGUGAUUCCAUCCAUCAUCUCAGAUUACUCAGUGGAUAUGAAAAAACAAAGGAACUUGUUCAAGGGCAAACGAACGAUUAAGCGUUGCUGGAAUAAAGGUUCAAAGAAACCGACUUCAAAAGAACCAAUAUCCUUCACAAGUGAAGGUGAGGUAUGCAUUUCAUCUCUUUUAUUAAAAAGUAACAAAAGCAUUAUUGUAAUUGUUAGAUAAUUAAAAGAACUAUUGUGAUUGUUAGAUAACGUUGCUUUUUAGAACGAAUUUAUGGUGAAGUGGACCAUUUAGAUAUUUCGUGGUUUUAACUGACGCAUCAUGGUCACAUGUGUGUUUAUUAUCAGGUCGAAAUCUUGUAUUUGCAAGAUUAUUUGUCGAAAUAAUCGAAUUAAAAGCACAAUUUUCGGAUUAUACAAUAAAAACAUUCUACUUGAUAA